UGAAAAUGAGCUGAUAUUUUUCAUUAACCCAUGAACAAGGCAUUAAGCCAUUACAUAUAUCAGUCAAUAAGUAAAACAAACAAGUAAUCACCUACUAACAUACCUAACACCACUAAAAUGCCUAGUAACUUGGUAAACUUGAUUGAAAAACAAAAAGGCUUCUACCUAAGCUUGUCAUUCAGCACCUAAUUACAUCAAAAUGCAGCUACCAACUAAGUUUGAUCCUAACUAAAUACAAAACAUUCAAUUAAGGAAACCAAAUGAAUAGCUUCAGCUUGCUGCAUCAACUUGCUGCUGAAGCACGUUCCUUGCAUGGCCACCUUUGCUGCUAUAUGGGAGCUGACUUCAACACUCCUCCUCAGCUUCUAUGCAGCAGACUCCUAGCUUCCUCUUCAGGCUUAGAUAUCUUGAUACACCAAGAGGCUUUGUGAAGAUAUCGGCAAUCUGAUUUUCAGAACUGCAAUGGAUUAGCUCAAUUUCUCGAGCUUGUUCCAUUUCUCUUAUCACAUGGAGUUUGAUGUUGAAAUGUUUUGUCCUGCCAUGAAAGACAGGAUUUUUAGCAAUAGCAACUGCUGACUUGUUGUCACAAUGUAUCACAGUUGCUUCAUUCUGCUGUAGAUUCAAGUCACUCAAAAUUUUUCUCAGCCACAUGGCUUGAUUAACAGCAUUGGCAGCUGCUACAUACUCUGCUUCUGCUGUCGAUUGAGCCACCAUUGUUUGUUUUCUUGAGCUCCAACAAAUCAUAGCUGAGCCAAGUGUAAAAGCAUAGCCAGAAGUGCUCUUCAUGUCAUCCUUUGAACCAGCCCAAUCGCUAUCAGUGUAGCCAAUCAGUUUCAAUUCUUCAGCCUUUCUAAACUGUAUUCCAUGGUUUAAGGUGCCUUUAAUGUAUCUUAGCACCCUUUUCCCAGCCUUGUAAUGUUGCUGGUUACAGCAGUGCAUGAACCUUGAUAGCAUGCUUACAGCAAACAAAAUGUCGGGUCUUGUUGCUGUCAAAUACAAUAAACACCCAACAAGGCUUCUGUAAUCUGUUUCACAGACAGAUUCAUGUUCCUCCUGGCUCGAUAGCUUUAUGCCAAUAGCCAUUGGUGUGCUCACUGGUUUACAAUUCUCCAUUGAGAAUUUAGCCAGCACUUUCAAGGCAAAUGUCUUUUGUUUCAAGAAGAUUCCUCCUUCUAUUUGAUUGACUUCCAUUCCUAGGAAAUAUGUCAUCAAUCCUAGGUCUGACAUCUCAAACAUUUUCUUCAUUCUUGCUUUGAAAUCAACCAUCAUAAGCUUGUCUCCUCCAGUCACGAGAAGAUCAUCAACAUAUAGUGACACAAUAAGCUGUGUUUCAGCUCCAUUCUUCUUAACAUAGAGUGUUGGCUCACUAGCACUCCUUUCAAAUCCCAAACUGACCAAAUAUGAGUCAAUUCGAGCAUACCAGGCUCGAGGGGCCUGUUUUAGGCCAUACAAGGCCUUUCUUAGCCUAUACACCAAUUGUUCCUUACCAGGCACUAUAAAACCUGGGGGUUGCUCGAUGUAUAUCUCUUCUUCUAGAAAUCCAUUGAGGAAUGCAGACUUGACAUCCAUUUGGUGGAUUGUCCACUGGUUCUGAGCAGCAACUGCAAUCAGCAAUCUGAUUGUAUCGAGUCUGGCUACUGGAGCAAAUGUUUCCAUGUAGUCCAGACCAUACCUUUGACUGAAGCCCUUUACAACUAGCCUGGCCUUUAGCUUGUUUAAGCUUCCAUCUGCAUUGUGCUUCACUCGAUAGACCCAUUUUACACCGAUAGUCUUUCUGUUGGCAGGCUUUUCAACCAACUCCCAUGUCUGAUUCUUUACAAUCAUGUUGAUUUCAUCAACCAUAGCUUGUUUCCAACCUUCAUCUGCCUCAGCCUCUUCAAAACUGCUAGGUUCUGCUAAUGCAACCUGUGCCCUUUCAUAAAUAUCUUCUAGGGGCCUUGUGCCUCUCACAGGCACAUCAUCAACAUCCAUUUCAGGUUCUAGCUGCUCAAGUUCAGCUUGAUUAGGCACUAGGUCUUCUGAAAUUGCUUCUGGCUCAUUUUUCUCCCAAUUCCAGCAGGCUUUUUCAUCAAAGAUGACAUCUCUGCUCACUUGGACUUUGUUUGUCAAGGGAUCCAGAACCCUGUAGCCCUUUUUGACUGAGCUGUAGCCUACUAGAACACCUGGUUGAGCCCUUUUAGAGAGCUUGUCUCUCUUUGCUGCUGGUAUUUGUGCAUAACACAGGCAACCAAACACCUUCAGGUGUGCCAAGGAAGGCUUGAAACCAAACCAAGCCUCGAAAGGUGUCUCGGAUGCAAGAGCUUUAGUGGGAAGCCUGUUCUGAAGGUAAACAGCAGUGUUUACUGCCUCAGCCCACAUGGUCUUGGGCAGUUUCUUCUCAAACAUCAGACAUCUGGCCAUAUCCAUCAGACUUCUAUUCUUUCUUUCAGCUACCCCAUUCUGCUGAGGUGUGUAGACAUUUGUAAGCUGAUGUUUGAUACCAGCAUCAUUGCAAAUGGCUUGAAACUGAGCUGAAGUGUACUCAGUGCCAUUGUCUGUCCUUAUUGAUUUCAGCUUGCAACCUGUUUCUGUUUCUACAGCAUUUUUAAACUUCACAAACACUUGAGCUACCUCAGACUUGUGUUUUAAAAAGAAAAUCCAGCAAAACCUUGUAAGAUCAUCAAUAAAGAGGAUGAAAUACCUGUUUUUGCUGAGUGAUUCAGUCCUCAUCGGGCCACAUACAUCAGAGUGCACCAGCUGUAGUCUUUCAGUAGCUCUCCAAGCUGAAUUUGUAGGAAAUGGCAGUCUUGCCUGUUUCCCCAUUUGGCAGACUUCACACACAUCAUCAUGCUCCACUGAGCUGGUGAAGUUCUCUGCCAUGCCCUCUUUGGCCAAUCGAGCCAUUGAUCUGAAGUUGGCAUGUCCAAGCCUUUGAUGCCAAAGCUUGGAGUCUCCAACAGAGGCUGUGUAUGUUGAGUUUGAGUCAUUUGCCCAGUGAACCUCAAAGCAUUUAUCAGUCAUUGUGACUGUCAUAAGGCUUGAUCCACUUGGAUCAGUAAUAUGGCAUUGUUUAUCCUUGAACACAACAGAAUAACCUUUCUCGAGCAGUUGAGCUAUGCUGAGAAGGUUUCUGUCAAUCUGUGGUACCAACAGCACAUUUGGAAUGAUCUUGUUGCCUGUGGGAGUAGAUAUCAGCACUUCUCCUCUUCCUUCAGCCCUUAUAAACUGACCAUUUCCAACCUUGACCUUGGUUUUAUAACUUCUGUCCAAGGUUUUAAACAAGGAGGCAUCUGGUGACAUGUGGUUAGUGCAACCACUGUCCAGCAGCCAGCCUUUAGAGCAUUUCUUCUCAGAAGCUACACAGGAAACAACAAAGACCUGUUCUUCUUGGUCACUACUGUCCUCAGCUACUCGAGCUUCAACCUUUGACUGCUGAAAUUGAUUCUGCCUUGGCUUACUUCUGUUUUUGCAGACCCUUUCAACAUGACCCUUCUUCUUGCAGUGUUGGCAUACUGCAUCUGGCCUAAACCAGCAUCUGUCUUCUGGAUGGCCAGGCUUCUUGCAAUAUCUGCAGGGCUGGUCAUUGCUCCUUGCAGCAUCAGGCUUAGGCCUGUUUUUCCAAGGCCUUUUGCCUCUUUGAGCAUUAGUGCUCGAGGUUUCUCUGGCCUUGGCUUGAAAUGCACCUUCUUGGUGAUCUUCAGCUCUGCUAGCUCUUCUUUGUUCCUGAGCAUAAAAGGUGUUGAUUAGCUCAGUCAAAGAGAUGCUAGCAAGAUCUCUUGAGUCCUCUAGAGAGGAUAUCUUGGCCUCAUAUCUCUCAGGCAAAGUGGAGAGGACUUUCUCCACAAUUCUUGCCUCAUCAAAGUGCUCACCUAGGAGCCUUAUGCUGUUAACCACUGCUAUAAUUCUAUCUGAGUACUGCUUCACUGUUUCUUCUUCCUUCAUCUUCAAAUUCUCGAAAUCCCUUCUCAAGUUUAGUAGCUGCUGUUGCCUUGUUCUCUCAGUGCCUUGAAACUCCUCCUUAAGCUUAUCCCAGGCCUGUUUUGGAGUCUCACAGGCCAUGAUUCUGGUGAAGAUGACAUCUGACACACAGUUUUGGAUGCAGGACAUGGCUUUGUGCCUUUUGGUCCUCUCAUCAGCAUGUUGCCUAAUCUGAGCUACUGUGGGAUUAGCCCUCAGUGGUGCUGGCUCAGUAUCUGUGUUGACAACUUCCCACAGAUCAAAAGCCUGUAGGUAAGUCUUCAUCUUGACCAGCCAUAUGUGAAAGCCUUCUCCAUUGAAGACUGGUGGGGCUGCUGGUGAAAAUCCUGAAGAAGCCAUCAAGUUCUUUGUUUUGAAGCAACAGGUCCACUAAGACAAGAGCUCUCGAUACCAAUUGUUGGUGCAAGAGGCAGCAGCAAGCUGUUUCUAGUCUUGCUUGAGUAGUAAGGCUCGAGGCUUGGUGAAGAAGCAAACUCGGAAGCAGAAAAAUAGAAAGAUGAAGCUAGCAAGUGAAAACAGAAAAGAGAGAAAGAGAUUGAAUGAAAAUGAGCUGAUAUUUUUCAUUAACCCAUGAACAAGGCAUUAAGCCAUUACAUAUAUCAGUCAAUAAGUAAAACAAACAAGUAAUCACCUACUAACAUACCUAACACCACUAAAAUGCCUAGUAACUUGGUAAACUUGAUUGAAAAACAAAAAGGCUUCUACCUAAGCUUGUCAUUCAGCACCUAAUUACAUCAAAAUGCAGCUACCAACUAAGUUUGAUCCUAACUAAAUACAAAACAUUCAAUUAAGGAAACCAAAUGAAUAGCUUCAGCUUGCUGCAUCAACUUGCUGCUGAAGCACGUUCCUUGCAUGGCCACCUUUGCUGCUAUAUGGGAGCUGACUUCAACAGAUC
rnacentral:lncRNA from 1 species